rnacentral:lncRNA from 1 species
GUGGAAUCUGAAGUCUUGUACAUAGACAAAGAUAUAGACAGAUCAUGUUACUUUUUUCAGAAAUACAAAAUAGAACAUUGAUUACUGUCCACUGUCACAAAAGUAUCAUAGAUGUGAUUCAUUCAUGUUUUUCUUUUGAGGUGAUCCCAAUGGUUCAGUUAUCGGUUUUGGAGACUGUGUGAGUCCUUUUUUUGGAUUUUGACUCUGCUUCAAUAGGCACAUUUGAUGGUUGGAAGAGAGACCUUUAUGCAUGCAGUGGAUUGAUUUCUUCAGUAGCGGUGGAAAUGUCAUCGGGUCGUCUGGACACCUUGUUCUUGCCUUUUACGUCUUUGUUGUUGGAAAUUUUUUCUAUUUCAAUUUGCUUGUUUGCAUCUUCUGUAACAAUUGAGGAAACAACUUGAUUUGACGUGGAGGAGUUGAACACGAAUAUUAUUUCAAAACGGUACUCAGGUGGGUCGUGGCGCUUUCUGUUGCCUUGAGGUAAAAGAGUAGCUCUGUAUCACUUUCCAAUUUGACAACGUCAUUGAGUUUUUUAAUACCUUCCUGUGGUUGAGGAAAUAU